rnacentral:rRNA from 1 species
CAGUCGCCGCGGGAAUACGAAGGGGGCUAGCGUUGCUCGGAAUGACUGGGCGUAAAGGGCGCGUAGGCGGUUUUGACAGUCAGAUGUGAAAUUCCUGGGCUUAACCUGGGGGCUGCAUUUGAGACGUCAAGACUAGAGUGUGAGAGAGGGUUGUGGAAUUCCCAGUGUAGAGGUGAAAUUCGUAGAUAUUGGGAAGAACACCGGUGGCGAAGGCGGCAACCUGGCUCAUUACUGACGCUGAGGCGCGAAAGCGUGGGGAGCAAACAGGAUUAGAUACCCCGGUAGUCCCUGUCUCUUAUAC